AUGCUGGGCUAAGACAAGGGGCAGAGGCAGAGAGAGAGAGAGGAGCCACCCUGAGAAGGAAGAGACCAGGUGGGCUCUGAGACAGGGAGACCCUUUCUACGUCGGUGCCUUGACAUGUGACUUUUUUGUCACUUCGUGCUCCAGGAUCACACCUGGAUGAACUAUCACUUUCAAAUGACCUUGUCUUUUCUCGGGCCUUCUGAACUGAUCAUCUCUUCCUUCUGAUACAAGAGGAUCUUCCCUGGAAGACCACUGCACACCUUCUAGUAACACUGCGACCCUGGGUUCAGGUAUCAUGGCCUUACAUGAUAUUCAUCUGAAGCAGGAUGAGACAGAGCAGGCAGAAAAGGAAACAUUUCUGACAAUGUUCUGUUAUGAAGAAUCCACCUUUCCUAGAAGCCCCAGCAAACCUCCCAUCGGACUCAUAGGUGCAAACUGGCUGAAAGGCUCAUUCCAAGACCAAGCACAGGUACAAGGGCCAAAACUGGCUAGAACAGGCAUGACUCACCUUUUCAGCUUCUCAGUCAUCUCCUCUCAAGGGCACAGGUCUGUUUGGUUGGUUUGUGAAUAAAACUGGGGGACUGUUAUUAUGGAAGAAGCAGUGAUAAGACCCUUUCCAUAAAGAGGAGAGACGUGAACUGGCAUAUAUCACCAGGACCACCUCCAAGUAAUUGACUAAUAAAUAAAAGCUCUAUUAGUAAGAA
rnacentral:lncRNA from 1 species